UCCCAGGUAGCAGGGUGAGGGCACAGCAC
rnacentral:piRNA from 1 species